GGCUAGAUGGUCAAGUGGUAAGACAUCCGUCUCUCAAUUAUCAGCCGAUUUUGGAUAUAUCCAAACUCGCCUACGACAGACAAGCCUCCGAGUGUGUGGUUGAGAACAGACGGGAAUCCCCAGUUCAAAUCUGGGUCUGGCCA
rnacentral:tRNA from 1 species